rnacentral:rRNA from 1 species
UACAGAGGUCCCAAGCGUUGUUCGGAUUCACUGGGCGUAAAGGGUGCGCAGGUGGGUUUGCAAGUUCGAUGUGAAAGCCCCGGGCUUAACCCGGGAAUGGCAUUGGAUACUGCAGAUCUGGAGGAUCGGAGGGGGGACUGGAAUUCUUGGUGUAGCAGUGAAAUGCGUAGAUAUCAAGAGGAACACCAGUGGCGAAGGCGAGUCCCUGGACGAUACCUGACACUGAGGCACGAAAGCUAGGGGGAGCAAGCAGG